GAAGAACCUUACCAGCUCUUGACAUCUGUCGGACUUCGCAGAGAUGCGUUGGUGCCCGCAAGGGAACGGCAAGACAGGUGCUGCAUGGCUGUCGUCAGCUCGUGUCGUGAGAUGUUGGGUUAAGUCCCGCAACGAGCGCAACCCUCGCCUCUAGUUGCCAGCAUGUUUGGGUGGGCACUCUAGAGGAACUCCCGGUGACAAGCGGGAGGAAGGUGGGGAUGACGUCAAUUCCUCAUGCCCUUUAUGAGCUGGGUUACACACGUGUUACAAUGGCGGUGACAAUGGGAAGCCAGGUCGCGAGGCCGAGCAGAUCCCAAAAACCGGUCUCAGUUCAGAUUGCAGUCUGCAACUCGCCUCCACGAGAGGCGGCGCCGGUAGUG
rnacentral:rRNA from 1 species